CCUACGGGUGGCAGCAGUGAGGAAUAUUGGUCAAUGGACGAGCGUCUGACCCAGCCAAGUAGCGUGAAGGGUGACUGCCCUAUGGGUUGUAAACUUCUUUUAUAAAGGAAUAAAACGCGGCACGUGUGCCUUUUUGCAUGUACUCUAUGAAUACGGAUCGGCUAACUCCGUGCCAGCAGCCGCGGUAAUACGGAGGAUCCGAGCGUUAGACGGAUUUAUUGGGUUUAAAGGGAGCGUAGAUGGUUUGUUAAGUUAGUUGUGAAAGGUUGCGGCUCAACCGUAAAAUUGCAAUUGAUACUGGCAGUCUUGAGUACAGUUGAGGUAAGCGGAAUUCGUGGUGUAGCGGUGAAAUGCUUAGAUAUCACGAAGAACCCCGAUUGCGAAGGCAGCUUACUAAACUGUGACUGACAUUGAUGCACGAAAGUGUGGGUAUCAAACAGGAUUAGAUACCCGUGUAGUC
rnacentral:rRNA from 1 species